rnacentral:tRNA from 1 species
UUUAAAAUGGCAGAAUAGUGCAAUAGAUUUAAAUUCUAUAAAUAUAAUCUUAUAGGUUAUUUUUAAAA